rnacentral:lncRNA from 1 species
GGAGCAGCAACCGGUCUGUUGGAAAGUUCCUGCAUAAGUUGUCGGAUCCUCAAAAAAAAGCUUUUCUGGGGACGCGCUGUUCAAGUCGAGUUUCCUUAUUGUCCCUUCCAAGACAUCCCUUCUAACUUCCCUAUUUCCAAAGGAAGAAAGAAAGGUCGAAAGCUCUCUUUCGAGAGCCUCUUUUGUUGGGCUCGGCGGCCCCAAUCGCAAGGCUAGAUCCAGAUCCCCCAUAGCCUGUUCAGCAUGAGGAAUGGCUGGCGGAGCAUCAGGAUUUCCUUGAUCCAUUCUCAAGAUCUCAGCCCCCCUACCAACUCGCUCCCGGUGACAUUAGGCACUACCUCAUUUGGGCUGGAAAUAAUAUAACUGUCCAUAAAACAAAUCAUUGCUGUGUUUUCGGUCUCGUUGAAUAAAAUGCAAACGAAAUGACUUACUAGCCACAGUAUAUCCCCGACACAACCUACAUUCACAAACGAUAGUUGUUUAGAAAUUUCUCCAAAAUUGAGACUAUCAU